rnacentral:sRNA from 1 species
GGUUCAAGUGAUUCUUGUGCCUCAGCCUUUUCAGCAGCUGGGAUUAGAGACCCCAGCUUGGUUGCUUUCUUGAGAUCUCACAGCCGCACGCAAGAGCAAACAGGAGAGACGGCCUCUGAGGAGCAGAGGCCAGGAGGACCCUCUGCUAAUGUCACCAAGGAGGAACCCCUCAUGUCAGCUUUUGCCAGUGAGCCCAGGAAGGGAGACAAGCUGGAUUCAGAAGCCCCAGCUCUGGCACUGCCCGUGACCCCUCAGAAAGAAUGGCUGCACAUGGACACUGUCGAGCUGGAGAAGCUCCACUGGACCCAGGACUUGCCCCCUGUCCAGCGGCGGCAGACACAAGAGAGGAUGCAGGCUCGAUUCAGUCUUCAGGGAGAACUACUGGCCCCUGACGUGGACCUGCCCACCCACCUGGGUCUGCACCACCAUGGAGAGGAGGCAGAGAGAGCGGGGUACUCCCUACAGGAGCUGUUCCACCUGACCCGCAGUCAGGUUUCCCAGCAGAGAGCACUGGCACUGCAUGUGUUGGCCCAGGUCAUCAGCAGGGCCCAGGCUGGUGAGUUUGGGGACCGGCUAGCAGGCAGUG